AAUCAUAUGAUAGAAAUUAGAUCUCAACCUAUCCUUGAGGGAUCGAUCGCACCCACAGAUGAUCAUAUCUGUGAUCAAGUGCUUGGUAUUAGAUCCUGUUAUGUUAGGAGGCUAGAGUAUCGGAUCAGAGCUCUUCCAUCUUCAUGCUCAUCUCAGACUGAUGUCUAUGCUGCCUAUGAUGUCCGACUGGUAAAGAUAUAGAGACAGAC
rnacentral:lncRNA from 1 species